AUUGAACGCUGGCGUCAGGCCUAACACAUGCAAGUCGAGCGAGCGGCGGACGGGUGCGUAAUGUAUUGGGAUCUGCCCGAUAUAUGUUGAUAACUACUUGAAACGAUCGCUAAUACCUCAUACUAUCCGAUGAACCCAUAUGGGAUUAGCUAGUAGGUGGGGUAAAGGCUCACCUAGGCGACGAUCUCUAGCUGGUCUGAGAGGAUGAUCAGCCACACUGGGACUGAGAAACGGCCCAGACUCCUACGGGCGGCAGCAGUGGUGAAUAUUGCACCAUGGGCGCAAGCCUGCUGCAGCCAUGCCGCGUGUAUGAAGAAGGCCUUAGGGUUGUAAAGUACUUUCAGCGGGGAGGCGUUACCCGCAGAAGAAGCACCGGCUAACUCCGUGCCAGCAGCCGCGGUAAUAC
rnacentral:rRNA from 1 species